rnacentral:rRNA from 1 species
GUGACAAGAAGACCCUAAGAGCAAUCCCGGAAGAGAUCUUGUGAGGGGAAGACACAUAGUUUGUGAGGUUAAUGACCAGGAGGAUGGAGAGAGUUGGUAUGAGUCCCUAAGAGUAGAGAUCCAGCGAGGGGAUGACAAUGAAGUAUGUGAUGUUUAUGACCUCGAUGUUGGAUU